UGCAGUCGAGCGGACCGACGGGAGCUUGCUCCCUUAGGUCAGCGGCGGACGGGUGAGUAACACGUGGGUAACCUGCCUGUAAGACUGGGAUAACUCCGGGAAACCGGGGCUAAUACCGGAUGCUUGAUUGAACCGCAUGGUUCAAUCAUAAAAGGUGGCUUUUAGCUACCACUUGCAGAUGGACCCGCGGCGCAUUAGCUAGUUGGUGAGGUAACGGCUCACCAAGGCGACGAUGCGUAGCCGACCUGAGAGGGUGAUCGGCCACACUGGGACUGAGACACGGCCCAGACUCCUACGGGAGGCAGCAGUAGGGAAUCUUCCGCAAUGGACGAAAGUCUGACGGAGCAACGCCGCGUGAGUGAUGAAGGUUUUCGGAUCGUAAAACUCUGUUGUUAGGGAAGAACAAGUACCGUUCGAAUAGGGCGGCACCUUGACGGUACCUAACCAGAAAGCCACGGCUAACUACGUGCCAGCAGCCGCGGUAAUACGUAGGUGGCAAGCGUUGUCCGGAAUUAUUGGGCGUAAAGCGCGCGCAGGCGGUUUCUUAAGUCUGAUGUGAAAGCCCCCGGCUCAACCGGGGAGGGUCAUUGGAAACUGGGGAACUUGAGUGCAGAAGAGGAGAGUGGAAUUCCACGUGUAGCGGUGAAAUGCGUAGAGAUGUGGAGGAACACCAGUGGCGAAGGCGACUCUCUGGUCUGUAACUGACGCUGAGGCGCGAAAGCGUGGGGAGCGAACAGGAUUAGAUACCCUGGUAGUCCACGCCGUAAACGAUGAGUGCUAAGUGUUAGAGGGUUUCCGCCCUUUAGUGCUGCAGCAAACGCAUUAAGCACUCCGCCUGGGGAGUACGGUCGCAAGACUGAAACUCAAAGGAAUUGACGGGGGCCCGCACAAGCGGUGGAGCAUGUGGUUUAAUUCGAAGCAACGCGAAGAACCUUACCAGGUCUUGACAUCCUCUGACAACCCUAGAGAUAGGGCUUCCCCUUCGGGGGCAGAGUGACAGGUGGUGCAUGGUUGUCGUCAGCUCGUGUCCUGAGAUGUUGGGUUAAGUCCCGCAACGAGCGCAACCCUUGAUCUUAGUUGCCAGCAUUCAGUUGGGCACUCUAAGGUGACUGCCGGUGACAACCCGGAGGAA
rnacentral:rRNA from 1 species